AUGGCUUCUGUGCAUAUGAAACUGAACUAAUGAUAUGUGCUCAUUCACGCUGUGGUUUCCAAACGCAACAGCUCUUAAGUACACAGCUUGCUUGACGUCUGAGCAGCCAGUCUACACCCCAGGGGCCAGUCAGAGCAGAAUGUUGAUGGAUCUUACGCAGUGAGGCUUUGCUUUGGGAGAGGCCGUAAAGCAGCUGAACUGCAUUUGAAAUCACCAACAUCUGAGAUUCUCAGGAAGCAAAAGCUGGAUACUUCUGCCUAUGUCUGAGCAUGAAGGAUGCAAUUCAC